AUACGAAGGGUGCAAGCGUUGCUCGGAAUUACUGGGCGUAAAGGGUCCGUAGGUGGCCCAGCAAGUUGGGUGUGAAAGCCCCGAGCUCAACUCGGGAAAUGCACUCAAAACUGCUGAGCUUGAGUCCGGGAGAGGGAAGUGGAAUUCCCAGUGUAGAGGUGAAAUUCGUAGAGAUUGGGAGGAACACCAGUGGCGAAAGCGACUUCCUGGACCGGUACUGACACUGAGGGACGAAAGCGUGGGGAGCAAACAGGAUUAGAUACCCUGGUAGUCCACGCUGUAAACGAUGAGUACUAGAUGUCGCGGGUAUUGACCCCUGCGGUGUCGCAGCUAACGCGUUAAGUACUCCGCCUGGGGACUACGGUCGCAAGACUAAA
rnacentral:rRNA from 1 species